AACGAACGCUGGCGGCAUGCCUAACACAUGCAAGUCGAACGAGACCUUCGGGUCUAGUGGCGCACGGGUGCGUAACGCGUGGGAACCUGCCCUUAGGUUCGGAAUAACUCCCCGAAAGGGGUGCUAAUACCGGAUAAUGUCUUCGGACCAAAGAUUUAUCGCCUUUGGAUGGGCCCGCGUUGGAUUAGCUAGUUGGUAGGGUAAAAGCCUACCAAGGCGACGAUCCAUAGCUGGUCUGAGAGGAUGAUCAGCCACACUGGGACUGAGACACGGCCCAGACUCCUACGGGAGGCAGCAGUGGGGAAUAUUGGACAAUGGGCGAAAGCCUGAUCCAGCAAUGCCGUGCGAGUGAUGAAGGCCUUAGGGUUGUAAAGCUCUUUUACCCGGGAUGAUAAUGACAGUACCGGGAGAAUAAGCUCCGGCUAACUCCGUG
rnacentral:rRNA from 1 species